rnacentral:lncRNA from 1 species
ACCAAAGCAGUGUUGAAAAUGCAUUUGAUCAGCAAGAGAAGGAGGGAGAAAUGGAGUGGGACGAGGUGACUCAAGGGCUCGUCUUGGCGAGUUUCUUCUAUGGCUAUGCCUUGACACAGAUCGUGGGCGGCCGCUUGGCAGACCUGUACGGGACACGGUGGGUGUUCGGAAGCUGC